AACCAGACUCCUACGGGAGGCAGCAGUGGGGAAUAUUGCACAAUGGGGGGAACCCUGAUGCAGCGACGCCGCGUGGGUGAAGGAGCACCUCGGUGCGUAAAGCCCUAUCGGCAGGGAAGAAACAGACGGUACCUGACUAAGAAGCCCCGGCUAACUACGUGCCAGCAGCCGCGGUAAUACGUAGGGGGCAAGCGUUAUCCGGGUUUACUGGGUGUAAAGGGGGCGCAGACGGCAGCGCAAGCCAGGAGUGAAAGCCCGGGGCCCAACCCCGGGACUGCUCUUGGAACUGCGCGGCUGGAGUGCAGGAGGGGCAGGCGGAAUUCCUGGUGUAGCGGUGAAAUGCGUAGAUAUCAGGAGGAACACCGGUGGCGAAGGCGGCCUGCUGGACUGCGACUGACGUUGAGGCCCGAAAGCGUGGGGAGCAGACAGGAUUAGAUACCCCUGUAC
rnacentral:rRNA from 1 species